rnacentral:lncRNA from 1 species
AUGGUGUGUGUGUGCGUGUGUGUGCGUGUGUGCGCGCCCAGCAACCUUCCUGCGAGGCAUGGUGUGUGUGUGUGUGCGUGCGUGCGUGUGCCCGCCCAGCAACCUUCCUGCGAGGCAUGGUGUGUGUGUGUGUGCGCGCGCGCGCCCAGCAACCUUCCUGCGAGGCAUGGUGUGUGUGUGCGUGCGUGCGUGUGCCCGCCCAGCAACCUUCCUGCGAGGCAUGGUGUGUGUGUGUGUGCGCGCGCGCGCCCAGCAACCUUCCUGAGAGGCAUGGUGUGUGUGUGUGUGUGUGCGCGUGUGCGCGCCCAGCAACCUUCCUGCGAGGCAUGGUGUGUGUGUGUGUGUGUGUGUGUGCACGUGCGCGCCCAGCAACCUUCCUGCGAGGCAUGGUGUGUGUGUGCGUGCGUGCGUGUGCCCGCCCAGCAACCUUCCUGCGAGGCAUGGUGUGUGUCUGUGUGUGCGCGCGCGCAUGGCCAGCAACCUUCCUGCAAAGCAUGGUGUGUGUGCGCGUGUGCGCGCCCAGCAACCUUCCUGCGAGGCAUGGUGUGUGUGUGUGUGCGUGCGUGCGUGUGCCCGCCCAGCAACCUUCCUGCGAGGCAUGGUGUGUGUGUGUGCGUGUGUGUGCGCGCCCAGCAACCUUCCUGCGAGGCAUGGUGUGUGUGUGUGUGCGUGUGCGCGCCCAGCAACCUUCCUGCGAGGCAUGGUGUGUGUGUGUGUGUGUGUGUGUGCACACCCAGCAACCUUCCUGCGAGGCAUGGUGUGUGUGUGUGUGUGUGUUUGUGUGUGCUCGCGCGCGCCCACAGCACCCUUUCUGCGAAGGCAAGGUCUCGGUCGGGGACUCCAGUCAGGAGAACCCUGACCCAGGGCUCAGGAGGCGGCCCCUGCAGCCUCGAGACCUGCUUUUACUGCACUGCCCCUUCUUUCUUGCCCUUUCCCCUUUCUUUCUACCUCCCUUUUUGCUAUUGGGGUAUUACCAGAAUCACCACCCCCCGGUUUUAUUGA